CUACGGGGCGCACCAGUGGGGAAUAUUGCGCAAUGGGCGAAAGCCUGACGCAGCAACGCCGUGUGAGGGAUGAAGGCUUUCGGGUCGUAAACCUCUGUCAGAAGGGAAGAACGGGUACUGGUCUAAUAGGCCAUUAUUUUGACGGUACCUUCAGAGGAAGCACCGGCUAACUCCGUGCCAGCAGCCGCGGUAAUACGGAGGGUGCAAGCGUUAUUCGGAAUUACUGGGCGUAAAGCGCACGUAGGCCGCUUUGUAAGUCAGGGGUGAAAUCCCACGGCUCAACCGUGGAACUGCCUUUGAAACUGCAGAGCUUGAAUCCUGGAGAGGGUGGCAGAAUUCCUGGUGUAGGAGUGAAAUCCGUAGAUAUCAGGAGGAACACCGGUGGCGAAGGCGGCCACCUGGACAGGUAUUGACGCUGAGGUGCGAAAGUGUGGGGAGCAAACAGGAUUAGAUACCCCCGUAGUC
rnacentral:rRNA from 1 species